rnacentral:rRNA from 1 species
GUGGGGAAUAUUGCACAAUGGGGGAAACCCUGAUGCAGCGACGCCGCGUGAGCGAUGAAGGCUUUCGAGUCGUAAAGCUCUGUCCUAUGGGAAGAUAAUGACGGUACCAUAGAAGAAAGCCCCGGCUAAUUACGUGCCAGCAGCCGCGGUAAUACGUAAGGGGCGAGCGUUGUCCGGAAUUAUUGGGCGUAAAGAGUGCGUAGGCGGCAAAUUAAGUCAGAUGUGAAAACUAAGGGCUCAACCCAUAGAUUGCAUCUGAAACUGAUAUGCUUGAGUCAAGGAGAGGAAAGUGGAAUUCCUAGUGUAGCGGUGGAAUGCGUAGAUAUUAGGAGGAAUACCGGUGGCGAAGGCGACUUUCUGGACUUGAACUGACGCUGAGGCACGAAAGCGUGGGGAGCAAACAGGAUUAGAAACCCGUGUAGUCC